UAUUAAACUAGAUUAGUUCAACAUGUGAACUGUCCGUAAAGUAUCAUCAUAUGAUUGGUUUUAGGGCACAUUUCCAACAAACUUGAAAUAAAGAGAAGGGCUUAUGCCCUUUUACAACACAUUUGAUGGACUUAUGUCCAUUUACAACAAAUUUGAACUAAUCAAAUUACAUUCAAAUCUAAACUACUUAACCCAAGCAUUCCCAAUGUAAAGCAGCCAAUCACAUAGCUCAAUUAUCGAGGCCUUUGGUUCAUAAUCACCAUUUUCUUAAUCAAUCAUAUUAACUAAGAAAACAACUUAAACAAUUGGUUUUCGGAUUCAUAGAAUUGAUUUAAAUGGAACUAAAUGAAAUGAAAAUCCAAUUCUCAUUAAAGAGACAAAACCAUUUUGUUCUCAUGAUCUUUUGGGCCGAAAAACAAUGAGCACAACUAUUGGGCCACAAUGUUAAAACAUAAACUUUUGGGGUCACUUUGUAAAAACACAAGAGUCCACAACUUCAUGUAAUUACAACUAGAACCCAAAAAUUUCAACAAUAACAAAAACUUCAUUAAAGGAGCAAAACAAUUUGUCCUUUAGUGAUUUUGGACCUUUACGUAAAAACGUAAACUUUGGGCCAAAGUAUAAAUACACAAAAGCAUCAAAACUUUAUGUAAUUGAAUAAAGGCCCCAAAAGUACCCUACUUUGUAGGGUGGCCGGUUUUGGUAGUGAAAAAGGGGGAAUGAUUUUGGUGAAAAUUCAAAAUUUCAAAGUGUGUUGAAAAAGUGAAAGGUAUCGUUUGAAAAGGUGAUUGGUAUGGUCGAAAAGGUUUGAUUGGUAUGGGUUGUAAGAAAAGGUUAGUCAAACAAUAAAGACACAAAUCAUCCAUCACCAAUCAGUAACAAACUAAAACUUUAUGCAAAGCAACAAACAUAUUGAAUCAAAACACCAAAACUUUUUGUUCUUGGUAAGAACAUCAAGAACAUUGAAUAACACACAUGAAAACUCAUAGGAGCUCCAUGAAUGUUUUCACUCAAUAAAACUCAA
rnacentral:lncRNA from 1 species